AAACUAGCCUACUGAGGGUAAUAGACCAUGGGGAAAAAAGCUGAGUCACUUCAAUUGGAAGUCAGCCAACCCCAGAAACAGAGCUGCUUAGCUGAUGUUCAAUUGAUUACAGGCACAUGGGGAGGCCCAGCCAGUCAAACCCAGAACAGCCCGGCUGAGCUCAGCCUAAUUCUGUGACUUUCAGGAUGAGUAACAAAAUAAAUGAUUCUUAUUUUAAGUCAAAAUUUUGGAGAGCAAUCUUCCUCUUGUCAAUGUCUAUCUCAGUGCUAUUUCAGACUCCUUUCGUACUGUCAAAUCUCACUCAACUUUUAGCAUCUAUUUCAAUUGGCAUCUCUUCCAAGAAGAUUUUUCUAAUUUCCUCAAGUGAUGUGUUAUCUCCCCUAUAAUUGAACCCCAUUUUGAUAUUUGUGUCCCUUUUUAGCUUUUUUUUUAACUUGUUUUCUAUUAGAGGUGUUAGUGUCCUACUCAUCUUGCUUUUCCUACAGCUAGUAAGUGGACAUCCAGGAGGUACAAGGAUAUAUCCCAGACCUGGCCAGUCAUGCUACCAUUUCCCAUAAUAAUCUCCUUAAGAAAUGAAGAGCUAUAAGAAUGGAAUCGAGACUAGGAGAGGAACAUCCAAAGGAGAGAAAAUGACUGCAGUGGGAGAGAACAAGAGCUACGAUCAAAAAGAGGAGAGACAAGCAGCACUGAGGAAGACAGAAGGGUAAGAAGAGAUGAUGUCAGAAGUGGGAUCCAAAGAAAAGCUUCCAGUGACCCCCAGGAGCACUGAGUGACCAAGCAAGCAAGAAAAGGUUAAAUGACUUGUGCACUGGGAAGAAAAAAAAAAAAAACAGUUGUCAUCCGUGGUGCCAAAAAUAGAAGUUCUGAUUUCCAGUCCUGUGAUCUCAACAGAAGACAGAAUGUUCACUCUAUCUGACUGAUACAAAAUACAACUUCUCCAAGGACUCUAUUAUUUUGAACUACUGUAAAAUUGAAUAAAACAAGUGUGUCUGGAGUUUGUUCCUGCUGGUGGGUUUGUGGUCUCGCUGACUUCAAGAAUGAAGCCAUGGACCUUUG
rnacentral:lncRNA from 10 species